GUUCAUUCUGUCGCGAUCCCUUCAUCCGCACAAAACAAAACAUUACUCGUUGACUACAGUACUCAUGUCAUCUAGUUCUUAAGAAAAUGAUUUUUAUUUUUUGUGUAUCGUAGGUUACUAUAAAAAUGCAUUCCGGGACUUUGGAAAGAAUCGGGUCGCCGAUAAAAAGGACGCUUUCUCGGGGAGUGAGUGAGGACGAGUCACUUCGCAACAUUAUCAAAGAGAGUCUAAUUUGACAUUACUAGGCUACAGUCGACAAGAUUCAUCCUCGAGCGUUACAACGGAGAGUUCGGCCAGGCGUCUGACACGCAGAGGGGGGACCCUCGAGAGGAGAAGUGGGAGUCAGCAGUCUGAGGAUCAAGAACUAAUGAUGGAACUCCCUGAGAUGCUUGAUCUGCAGGCGAGCUACGACGAGAUGUUGCAAGAGCUCCGUGGGCUGGAGCUGCAGCGGGAGACUGUGUUGUUCCAGGUGGACAUUCUGCACGACGCCCUGGAGGGGGCCGAAGAGAUGCUGGCCGAGGCUCAGAGAGAGGCCAGCCAUGCCACCAUGGAGUUGGAGCAAGCGAGAGAAGCCAACAGGAAGUUGGAGGACAUGGUCAGCUCUCUGAUGCAGGAGGUGGAGAGGCUAAAAGAGGUAAUGAAGUAUGAGGAGGAGGGACUUACAUAAUCAUACAGAGAGAGGCACGUACAGCAGGAUUCCUGGUUUUGGACAUAUCCACGGCAGGUAGCCUUGCAGGUAAGCGUGUUGGGUCAAUAACCUAAAUGUCGCUGGAUCUAAUCCCUGAGCUGACUAGGUGAAAAAACAGUAUGUGCUCUUGAGCAACCCUAAUUGCUCCUGUAAGUCGCUCUGGAUAAGAGCGUCUGCUAAAUUACUAAAAUGUAAAAAUAAAGACUGACUAGUACCUUCAUGCCAGCUCUGGUUUAUUGCGUAUCUCUUUCCUUUGUCAGGGGAGUGUUCUCUCUUUCUCUCGGCUCUGUGCUUUGCUGAACUUGACAGAAUGAAGUGUUUCCACUGCUGGGAAAUUUAAGCCUGGGGGACAACCUCCCACCAUACCUGUUAUUCUCAGUGUGUGUGUACAUUACCCUUCCUAAAAUAGGGCAAUGUAAAUGAUUGAUAGAUAUUUGUUCUGUACCAAAGGAUAUGUUUGAUAAAGGUGUUAUGCUUGCUAGAUGUUGACUAAUGUCAUUUGGAGUACAUUUUGUGUUCUAAUGAACAGCACAUUUCACUCGGGGUUACAUUUACAUUAUAUUUUAACAUUUACAAUUUAGUAAUUUAGUAGACGCUCUUAUCCGGAGCGACUUAGCUGUUUUAAGAUGAAUACACGAACUAAGUGGAACAACCACAUCACAGGCAUAGUAAAUACACUUUUCCUCAGAAUAGCUAUCAGCAAAGUCAGAGCUAUCUGGUUGUUAUCUGCUACUGAGGCUUGUGGCAGGUUAGAAGGGAGUCGUCUGUUUGCAAUUAAAUGGGAUAAUCCACCUCAAACCUAUGAAAGUCCAGAGAGGGCAUAUGGGACAAAAAUGUAUUCCCUUAUGUCGAUCACAAUUUAUUUAUUUCAUCGUCACUACAUAACAAAAGUUGUUUUGUCGCCCAUGAGAUGAUUGACAUUUAGGGCUCCCAAGUGGCGCAGCAGUCUAAGGCACUGCAUCGGUGCUAGAGGCAUCACUACAGACCCUGGUUCGAUUCCAGGCUGUAUCACAACCAGCCAUGAUUGGGAGUCCCAUAGGGUGGUGCACAAUUGGCCAAGCAUUGUUAGGGUUUGGCCGGGGUAGGCCUUCAUUGUAAAUAACAAUUUGUUCUUAACUGACAGGCCUAGGUAAAUAAAGGUUUAAACUUAACAAAAGUUGUUUUGUCUAGGUCAACUCUAUAAAUAGGAAUGUACUUACUAAAGAUAGAUUGGCAGUAUGGUUGAGGCGGCAGAGCCCACGGUGGAUCAGCUCAUACGUUGUUAUUGAUUGCCACACUGAUGGAUGGUACAUUUCAUGCUUUCAUUCGUGUUUGAGCUCAGUUUAUAAAUUAGAAGGUUAGCAAGCUAAAUGUCCAUUACCUUGCGCUAAGAGCUUGUGGGGGAUUUAAGCCCCCUCUCAGGCUGUAUGCCACCCCCAGGACCACAGCCAAUCGCAUGCAAGCAACAAUGCAGCUAACUUGGCCCAGCUAGGUAGUCUUGCUAGCUAGCUAGCUAGUUGUCUUUGCCGGUUGUUAGUUUGCAUAACUGAUAUGUGUAUAAUUGUAAGGGACACUUCAUGUUUUAUGGAUAAUAUAAAAAUGUACAGAGUGGGUGAGCUCCAUUCCUGACAGGCUGAUCAGAUUCAAUAGCAGCCUCAGAGGCUGAUAUCAGGAUGCUCUAUAUAUUGAUAAAUGUCACAUUGUAUUUACCCCCCCAAAAAGGAAAUGUUAAUUAGCGGCUUAUGUGGCUAUCAUACAGAACUACAAAUGCUCGUCUCAAGCUUCACGUCACUUACCAUGGCCAUGAUGAUCUGGACGAGACUGCCGAAUCGAGGCAAAAGUAAGUUUAUCUUGAGAUUCUAUCUAAUGUUAGCUAAAUAUGGUAAUUUAUAAUUUGUUUAAACGAAGAAGUCUGAACUGUAUUGGGCAAGUAAAAAAUGUACACAUACCUGAUAUCUAGCUAGCUAGCUCAUGGUUAACUAGUUAGCAUUAUUAGCCUGGCUAGAUGUCUACAUUAGCAGUCUUUUUGGCUAGCCAUUUAAAUGCAUGAGAAGUUCAUAAAAACGAGUUAAGCUUUCAUAAGCCAACAGUUUAGCUUGCUACUGAACUAGCUAGCUAACUUGGUUUCACUAUCUAAAAUUCUAGAUCAUGUUUGUUUGUGUCUGUGGGUAGUACUUGACUUGCAGCUAUCCUAGCUAGCAGUAUUAUUUUGGUCUGGCUUUUUUAGAGGUUUCAGAGAUGGACUGAUUAGCAUCCUCAUCAUUAGCAAGUGUAUGUACUUUACUGCGAGGAAACAUUGACCUGUUUGCUGUUUCCCCUCUAGACAGCAUAUCAUUAGUAUAGCUAGUAGGGAAGGUUAUGUAACUUUAUUUAGUCCUACCAACUAUGGUGGGUUUUAAAUGAAUCGUUUUUUUUAAGUGUGUGUAUAUACACUUUUUACCCCUUUUUCUCCCCAAUUUCGUAAUAUCCAAUUGGUAGUUAAAGUCUUGUCCCAUCGCUGCAACUCCCAUACGGACUCGUGCGAGGCGACGGUUGAGAGCCAUGCAUCCUCGAAACACGAUCCCGCCAAACCGCACUGCUUCUUGACACACUGCCCGCUUAACUCGGAAGCCGGCCACACCAAUGCGCCUGAGGAAACACCGUACAGCUGGCGACCAAAGUCGGCGUGCACUGCGCCCGGCCGCCACAAGGAGUCGCUAGAGCAAGAUGGAACAAGGACAUCCCAGCCGGCCAAACCCUCUUCUAACCCGGAUGAUGCUGGGCCAAUUGUGCGCUGCCUCAUGGGUCUCCCUGUCAUGGCCGGCUGCGACACAGCUCGGGAUCGAACCUGGAUCUGUAGUGACGCCUCUAGCACUGUGAUGCAGUGCCUUAGACUGCUGCUCCACUCUGAAGGCCCCUAAGUAUAAUUAUUAACCUUAUUUGCACCUUCUGUAUUCCAGAAUCAAUAGGUCUUAUCACCUCUCAACUAGGCAAGCUGUUUUGACCUGCUUUGGUCUGUUUCAGUCAUUACAGCAAGUCCUGAAGAGCAGGAGUGUGUGUGUGUGUGAAGAGUUUUGUCCCAGCCCAGCCCUAACACCUGACUUAAAUGAUCAACAUGACGAAUCACAACGAUAGGUUAUGAUUUAUUAUCAGGCAUGAGCUGGGCUGGAACAAAAGCUUAUACACCCUCUAAGUCAUUAUUCAGUACGGGUACAAUUGGGGGGGGGCAACGCGGCGACUGCUAAGAAGAAGGUAGCAGCUGCGGACCAGAAGACUACAGCCAAGGCAGCACUGGUCCACACCUGCCCUGUCUAUCGGGAAAGUAGUAUUGGUUGGUACUGUAUGUGCCUUUAGGUUCCUCUCCAUCUGUAGGCUGUUGUACUGACCUGUGUGGUACAGUCUUUCAUAUGUGUAGUAGUGUAGCAUCACAUUGCUUAGUUUAUCAUUUGUGUCAACUUUGAAUUCAAUCUAAACCACAGAUUAACUUCCUCCAUUUUGUCUUUCACCUUUUAUAGAUGCAGACAUGAAGACAUUCAAGCAGCACUUUGAGAACAAGCAUCCCAAGUCUCCAAAGGUCCCAGUACUGGUUGAUGUGCAGGCCCAAGUGACCACACACUCAAAUGGACCUACAGCUGGGAUAAGAUUCUUCCAUCAUUCACACACAGUAGACAUAGUAUAAACCAUAUUGUCAACAAAAUGUUGUCAUCAAUGCUUAAGUUGUAUUGUGCAUGGCUCAAUUGGUGGAAAUGCUGUGAUCACUCAUUGUCUUUAAUUGUGAUUCACAGACAUAAAUUGACCACGAUUUGAUUUCUGCAACUGAGACGGAAUGAUGUCGAGGGACCAGCUGAGACCUCAUGUAUAACUGGACAUGGGCGGGAUAUUUGUGGUGACAACCUAUAAGGGAUGGAGAAGCACACCAGCACCCAACCUUAUGUUUAUUCCAUGGCCAACCAUCCCUCUAGCUACCCCUUAUUCCACACUGCCUUUUAUGCCCCAUGGUCCCUCAACUUUGGAACUCUCCAUCUCAUCUACCUUCACUGAUUUUCCCUAUGCUGCUUCCUUCACUCCUCCUGAUUUGAUAACAUCUAUACUCCGUAACACGUUUGUUGUGGUGUACUGUUUUUGCCAACUUAUUUUUACUCUGGUAAUGCUGGCCUCCUGCUUAUUCUGAGGUUCAGAUUGAAUGCAGUGGUAAAUGUGCUGCUCACAAUUGAUAGCAACAACAUUGACCUGUUAAAUUGACAAGAAAGCUUUUGUGAUAUAGUUGAGUUUCGGCAUGUCUUCCUUGUUGAGUGUGUUUCUCAUUCUGCUGGAGUUGACCUAGUAUUUAUAUUAAACCUACCUUAUGCAUCCAGUUGUUUCUCCGUUUGUAACUCAUCCACCAAAAAUCACAAUAUGCUGUUUUACAUUUUGUUAUUUUUGCUGAUCUAGUUUCUAAAAUGGAAAAGCAGAAGAAUCUGUGCACUCUCUGGUAGAAGAGCAC
rnacentral:lncRNA from 1 species